GGAGAGGUGGCAGAGUGGUCGAAUGCGCCGGACUCGAAAUCCGGUUGACUCUUAGGAGUCACGAGGGUUCAAAUCCCUCCCUCUUCG
rnacentral:tRNA from 1 species